GGCUCAGUUGGCAGAGCAUGGCGCUUGUAACACCAUGGUUGUGGGUUUGAUUCCCAU
rnacentral:tRNA from 1 species